rnacentral:ncRNA from 1 species
UUAAAAACGAGGACGAGAAGAGUAUUUCAAAAUGGUAGUGGAAGCGAGCUGAUGAUGGUGAAAGAUCAGUACGGAUUUUUGAAAGAAGAACAUCUCUGAGUUUCUAACCGAACUAACAGUAGGAUUAGACGUUUCCUGACACGUUAUCGUCAGUAGAUAUCGACUUUAAGUCCGUAUCGAUGAGCAGGAUCUUUUUAGAUCAAUCUGGGUGGUACCGCGGAAGUAGCUUUCGUCCCUUUU